rnacentral:rRNA from 1 species
AACGAACGCUGGCGGCAUGCCUAACACAUGCAAGUCGAACGGGAUCCUAGCUUGCUAGGUGAGAGUGGCGGACGGGUGAGUAACACGUGGGAAUCUGCCUUUUGGUUCGGGAUAACCGCGGGAAACUGCGGCUAAUACCGAAUGCCCUCGAGAGAGGAAAGAUUUAUCGCCAGAAGAGGAGCCCGCGUCCGAUUAGGUAGUUGGUGGGGUAAAGCCUACCAAGCCGACGAUCGGUAGCUGGUCUGAGAGGAUGAUCAGCCACACUGGGACUGAGAUACGGCCCAGACUCCUACGGGAGGCAGCAGUGGGGAAUAUUGGACAAUGGGGGCAACCCUGAUCCAGCAAUGCCGCGUGAGUGAUGAAGGCCUUAGGGUUGUAAAGCUCUUUUGCCAGGGAAGAUGAUGACUGUACCUGGAGAAUAAGCCCCGGCUAACUUCGUGCCAGCAGCCACGGUAAU